rnacentral:lncRNA from 1 species
CCGGGAGCUGGGCUGAGUGGUCACUCCAGAGCUCUGGAGUCUGUGGCGGGGAGCCCUGGAAACUGACAGCGGAGGGAAAGGUCGGGCCGGGGCGGCGAGUGCCCCGCGGGGACGGGGACGGGGUUUCUCCCAAGGGCAGUGCCCGUCGCUGGGCAGGUGGAGACGGCUGGGGCGGGCAAAGUGCCCGGGGGCAGCAUGGUGCUGGUGUCCCAUCUCCCUUGGCACAGGCAGAACCAUCAGGAGGCUCCACUGGCUGGGGUGAGAGCGGGUCAG